AACGAACGCUGGCGGCAGGCUUAACACAUGCAAGUCGAACGGGUGUAGCAAUACAUCAGUGGCAGACGGGUGAGUAACACGUGGGAACCUUCCUAGGGGGUACGGAACAACUCAGGGAAACUUGAGCUAAUACCGUAUACGUCCGUGAGGAGAAAGAUUUACCGCCCUUAGACGGGCCCGCGUCGGAUUAGGUAGUUGGUGGGGUAACGGCCUACCAAGCCUACGAUCCGUAGCUGAUCUUAGAGGAUGAUCAGCCACACUGGGACUGAGACACAGCCCAGACUCCUACGGGAGGCAGCAGUGGGGAAUCUUGGACAAUGGGCGCAAGCCUGAUCCAGCCAUGCCGCGUGAGUGAAGAAGGCCUUAGGGUUGUAAAGCUCUUUUACCAGGGACGAUAAUGACGGUACCUGGAGAAUAAGCCCCGGCAAACUUCGUGCCAGCCGCCGCAGUAAUAC
rnacentral:rRNA from 1 species